GACGAACGCUGGCGGCGUGCCUAAUACAUGCAAGUAGAACGCUGAAGCUUGGUGCUUGCACCGAGCGGAUGAGUUGCGAACGGGUGAGUAACGCGUAGGUAACCUGCCUGGUAGCGGGGGAUAACUAUUGGAAACGAUAGCUAAUACCGCAUAAGAGUAGAUGUUGCAUGACAUUUGCUUAAAAGGUGCAAUUGCAUCACUACCAGAUGGACCUGCGUUGUAUUAGCUAGUUGGUGAGGUAACGGCUCACCAAGGCAACGAUACAUAGCCGACCUGAGAGGGUGAUCGGCCACACUGGGACUGAGACACGGCCCAGACUCCUACGGGAGGCAGCAGUGGGGAAUCUUCGGCAAUGGACGGAAGUCUGACCGAGCAACGCCGCGUGAGUGAAGAAGGUUUUCGGAUCGUAAAGCUCUGUUGUAAGAGAAGAACGAGUGUGAGAGUGGAAAGUUCACACUGUGACGGUAUCUUACCAGAAAGGGACGGCUAACUACGUG
rnacentral:rRNA from 1 species